AAAUUCAAAUUUCUUCCUCGUCUUCUUCUUCUUCUAAUUAAAUACUAAUUUCUUUUAUGUUCUUCUUAUUUUGGUUAAUAUUUUGAUCUAUGGAAGAACCACCCUCUGUUUUUCUCUUCUUCUAAACCAUAUGAUGGAUGAUUGACAUUGCUCAAAUUGGAUGAAAGUUGAAAGAGGGAUUUAAUAUACAUACCCUAAAUCCAUCUCUCUGCCUUCCCCUCUCAG